UUACAGGCGUGAGCCACAGCGCCCACCCUACAGAGGAAAUUUUAAGGAAAUGUCUGCUUUGAAUACUCAAUAAAAUAUAAGACAAAACCAAAAAUGAUACAGUCUGCUGAAAUUCUGACAGCAAUGAUAAAAGAAUUUUCAAGGAACUGAAAUCCAGUGACAAAAAUGAAAUCGAUCAAGGCUGUAGUUGCACACCUGAGACAUUCCUCGAGAAGGCAGAGGAGAAAGGUGUGAAAAACAGUGAACCAGAGAAGGAUGGCCAGGGACAACAAAGAUUGGAGCUCGGAAGUUGAAUGACAGAUAUUCUGGAGAAACACACCAGAGAUGACAAAAGAAGGACCCUUCUUUGAAUGAAACAAUAAGAUUCAUAUAAGCAACAGGUCUGAGCUGAGGUGUCAUCUCUGAACACCAGGCUGCUGCACUAACCAGAAGACCCCUCCCCCCCCUGCAGUGGCCUCGCUGCAUCGUAAGGACGGAGGAGCUGUUGUCUCCACAGCUGACAGGUGCUUAGCGGUUAGAAGUCUGGUUUUGGCGCGGCUUAGAUCUUUACAUCUGAACUAGUCUUGUCAACAUAUUUUGUUAUAUUUCUGGUGGCUUUGUCUUUGAUGCUAUUAUAAAUGAUUAUCUUUUAAAAUAAUACUUUGAUGAUAUAUAGAAAUGAAAUUGAUUUAUUUGUAUCCAGC
rnacentral:lncRNA from 1 species